rnacentral:rRNA from 1 species
UACGGAGGGUGCAAGCGUUAAUCGGAAUUACUGGGCGUAAAGCGCACGCAGGCGGUCUGUCAAGUCGGAUGUGAAAUCCCCGGGCUCAACCUGGGAACUGCAUCCGAAACUGGCAGGCUAGAGUCUUGUAGAGGGGGUAGAAUUCCAGGUGUAGCGGUGAAAUGCGUAGAGAUCUGGAGGAAUACCGGUGGCGAAGGCGGCCCCCUGGACAAAGACUGACGCUCAGGUGCGAAAGCGUGGGGAGCAAACAGGAUUAGAUACCCUGGUAGUCCACGCCGUAAACGAUGUAGACGUGGAGGUUGUGCACUUGAGGAGUGGCUUCCGGAGCUAACGCGUUAAGUCGACCGCCUGGGGAGUACGGCCGCAAGGUUAAA